GUCCUCUCGGUGCCUCUUCUUCUGCCUGGCGGACGCCUGGCCCUUGUUGUGGGAGGAGUAGGAGCUCAGGGCACACCAGACAGAGAGCUUGGCCAGAGCCUUCCCUGGGGGGUCCAUAAGGGUGUGCCACUUGGAGGAAUCGGUGAGCAGGUUGGGUAGGAUGUGACCCAGCAGGGUCAGUGUCAGCUGCUGCAUGUCCAGGCAGAAGAUGGCAUAGAGCAGCUCCACAGCUCGCAGCGUGUGCUCCUUCCGUGUCUCCUUCAGCAGCUCCUUGACCAGGUUGUUGCAG
rnacentral:lncRNA from 1 species